rnacentral:rRNA from 1 species
GAUGAACGCUGGCGGCGUGCCUAAUACAUGCAAGUCGAGCGAACGGACGAGAAGCUUGCUUUUCUGAUGUUAGCGGCGGACGGGUGAGUAACACGUGGAUAACCUCCCUAUCAGACUGGUAUAACUUCGGGAAACCGGAGCUAAUACCGGAUAAUAUUUUGAACCGCAUGGUUCAAAAGUGAAAGACGGUCUUGCUGUCACUUAUAGAUGGAUCCGCGCUGCAUUAGCUAGUUGGUAAGGUAACGGCUUACCAAGGCAACGAUGCAUAGACGACGUGUGAGGGUGGUCGGCGACAUUGGAACUGAGACACGGUCCAGACUACUACGGGAGGCAGCAGUAGGGAAUCUUCCGCAAUGGGCGAAAGCAUGACGGAGUAGCGCCGCGUGAGUGAUGAAGGUGUUCGGAUCGUAAAACUCUGUUAUUAGGGAAGAACAUAUGUGUAAGUAACUGUGCAGAUCUUGACGGUACCUAAUCAGAAAGCCACGGCUAACUACGUG